rnacentral:tRNA from 1 species
ACCUGGGUGGCUCAGUCGGUUGAGCGUCUGACUUCAGCUCAGGUCAUGAACUCACAGUUUGUGGGUUCGAACCCCGCAUCAGGCU